rnacentral:rRNA from 1 species
CGGGACGGGUGAGUAACGCGUGGAUAACCUGCCUCACACUGGGGGAUAACAGUUAGAAAUGGCUGCUAAUACCGCAUAAGCGCACAGUACCGCAUGGUACGGUGUGAAAAACCCAGGUGGUGUGAGAUGGAUCCGCGUCUGAUUAGCCAGUUAGCGGGGUAACGGCCCACCAAAGCGACGAUCAGUAGCCGACCUGAGAGGGUGACCGGCCACAUUGGGACUGAGACACGGCCCAA